rnacentral:rRNA from 1 species
CAUUAUGGAUUUAUAUAUAUAACACCUUUGUGCACUAUUAUAAUAAACACAACCAAAAAAAAAUUGUUGUAUGUUUUGAACCAAAUACAACUUUCAACAACGGAUCUCUUGGCUCUCGCAUCGAUGAAGAACGCAGCGAAAUGCGAUAAGUAAUGUGAAUUGCAGAAUUCAGUGGAUCAUCGAAUCUUUGAACGCACCUUGCGCUCCUUGGUAUUCCGAGGAGCAUGCCUGUUUGAGUGUCAUGAUAUUCUCAACAAAAUUGUUGGAUAUUGGAGAAUGCUGGUUGUUGAAUCGGCUACUCUUGAAUGUAGAAAAUAAAAAUGUGAAGGUAAUAGAUUUUACUUCACUUUGACAUAUAUCUCUAUGACCUCAAAUCAGGUAGGAGUACCC